rnacentral:rRNA from 1 species
AUUAAACGCUGGCGGCAUGCUUUACACAUGCAAGUCGAACGGUAACAGGGUGCUUGCACCGCUGACGAGUGGCGAACGGGUGAGUAAUGCGUCGGAACGUGCCGAGUAGUGGGGGAUAACGCAGCGAAAGUUGUGCUAAUACCGCAUACGUACUGAGGUAGAAAGUGGGGGACCUUCGGGCACCACGCUAUUCGAGCGGCCGACGUCUGAUUAGCUAGUAGGUGAGGUAAAGGCUCACCUAGGCGACGAUCAGUAGCGGGUCUGAGAGGAUGAUCCGCCACACUGGGACUGAGACACGGCCCAGACUCCUACGGGAGGCAGCAGUGGGGAAUUUUGGACAAUGGGCGAAAGCCUGAUCCAGCCAUGCCGCGUGUCUGAAGAAGGCCUUCGGGUUGUAAAGGACUUUUGUCAGGGAGGAAAUCCCUAGUGCUAAUAACACUGGGGGAUGACAGUACCUGAAGAAUAAGCACCGGCUAACUACGUGCCAGCCGCCGCGGUAA